rnacentral:rRNA from 1 species
AUUGAACGCUGGCGGCAUGCUUUACACAUGCAAGUCGAACGGCAGCACGGACUUCGGUCUGGUGGCGAGUGGCGAACGGGUGAGUAAUACAUCGGAACGUACCCAGUAAUGGGGGAUAACUAUCCGAAAGGAUAGCUAAUACCGCAUACGCCCUACGGGGGAAAGAGGGGGAUCGCAAGACCUCUUGUUAUUGGAGCGGCCGAUGGCUGCUUAGCUAGUUGGUAGGGUAAAGGCCUACCAAGGCAACGAUCAGUAGCGGGUCUUAGAGGACGAUCCGCCACACUGGAACUGAGACACGGUCCCGACUCCUACGGGAGGCAGCAGUGGGGAAUCUUGGACAAUGGGCGCAAGCCUGAUCCAGCAAUGCCGCGUGCGUGAAGAAGGCCUUCGGGUUGUAAAGCGCUUUUGUCAGGGAGCAAAUCCUUGUGGCUAAUACCCACCGGGGAUGAGAGUACCUGAAGAAUAAGGACCGGCUAACUACGUGCCAGCCGCCGCCGUAAGAC